GACGAACGCUGGCGGCGUGCUUAACACAUGCAAGUCGUACGGUAAGGCCCUUUCGGGGGUACACGAGUGGCGAACGGGUGAGUAACACGUGAGUAACCUGCCCACAACUUUGGGAUAACGCUAGGAAACUGGUGCUAAUACUGGAUAUGUGCUCCUGCCGCAUGGUGGGGGUUGGAAAGCUCCGGCGGUUGUGGAUGGACUCGCGGCCUAUCAGCUUGUUGGUGGGGUAGUGGCCUACCAAGGCGGCGACGGGUAGCCGGCCUGAGAGGGUGACCGGCCACAUUGGGACUGAGAUACGGCCCAGACUCCUACGGGAGGCAGCAGUGGGGAAUAUUGCACAAUGGGCGCAAGCCUGAUGCAGCAACGCCGCGUGCGGGAUGACGGCCUUCGGGUUGUAAACCGCUUUCAGCAGGGACGAAGCUUUUUGUGACGGUACCUGCAGAAGAAGCACCGGCUAACUACGUG
rnacentral:rRNA from 1 species